CCUACGGGAGGCAGCAGUAGGGAAUAUUGCUCAAUGGGGGAAACCCUUGAGCAGCAACGCCGCGUGGAGGAUGAAGGUUUUCGGAUUGUAAACUCCUUUUGUUAGAGAAGAUAAUGACGUUAUCUAACGAAUAAGCACCUGCUAACCCCGUGCCAGCAGCCGCGGUAAUACGGAGGGUGCAAGCGUUACUCGGAAUCACUGGGCGUAAAGGGCGCGUAGGCGGGAUAGCAAGUCAGAUGUGAAAUCCUAUGGCUUAACCAUUGAACUGCAUUUGAAACUGUUAUUCUAGAGUAUGGGAGAGGUAGGUGGAAUUCUUGGUGUAGGGGUAAAAUCCGUAGAGAUAAAGAGGAAUACUCAUUGCGAAGGCGACCUGCUAGAACAUAACUGACGCUGAUGCGCGAAAGCGUGGGGAGCAAACAGGAUUAGAUACCCGGGUAGUC
rnacentral:rRNA from 1 species